rnacentral:rRNA from 1 species
UACAGAGGGGGCAAGCGUUGUUCGGAAUUACUGGGCGUAAAGGGCGCGUAGGCGGCCUGCUAAGUCGAACGUGAAAUCCCCGGGCUCAACCCGGGAACUGCGUCCGAAACUGGCGGGCUCGAAUUCGGGAGAGGGAUGCGGAAUUCCAGGUGUAGCGGUGAAAUGCGUAGAUAUCUGGAGGAACAUCGGUGGCGAAGGCGGCAUCCUGGACCGAUAUUGACGCUGAGGCGCGAAAGCCAGGGGAGCAAACGGG